rnacentral:rRNA from 1 species
UACGUAGGGCGCAAGCGUUGUCCGGAAUUAUUGGGCGUAAAGAGCUCGUAGGCGGCUUGUCACGUCGAUUGUGAAAGCUCGGGGGCUUUAACCCCCGAGUCUGCAGUCGAUACGGGCUAGCUAGAGUGUGGUAGGGGAGAUCGGAAUUCCUGGUGUAGCGGUGAAAUGCGCAGAUAUCAGGAGGAACACCGGUGGCGAAGGCGGAUCUCUGGGCCAUUACUGACGCUGAGGAGCGAAAGCGUGGGGAGCGAACAGG